rnacentral:lncRNA from 1 species
CAGAAGUCAAAAAUGAGGGCCAGCCCGGUGGUGCAGCAGUUAAGUUCACAUGUUCCGCAUCGGAGGCCAGGGUUCGCUGGGUCGGAUCCUGGGUGUGGACAUGGCACCGCUUGUCAAGCCAUGCUGUGUGGGCACAUCUGGAUAAUUCAGGAUAAUCUCUGCAUCUCAAGAUCCUUGACUUGAUGGCAUCUACAAAGCCCCUCCUGCCAUAUACGAACGUGAGCAAAUGAGAGAGAAAAAAUAUUCCUUGCUGUGUUCACUGCUGCAUCCCCAGGACUGGCAGAUCCCUGGUAGACACAGCAGACCCUUGAGAAAU